AUUGAACGCUGGCGGCAUGCCUUACACAUGCAAGUCGAACGGUAACAGGUUAAGCUGACGAGUGGCGAACGGGUGAGUAAUGUAUCGGAACGUGCCCAGUUGUGGGGGAUAACUGCUCGAAAGAGCAGCUAAUACCGCAUACGACCUGAGGGUGAAAGCGGGGAAUCGCAAGACCUCGAGCAAUUGGAGCGGACGAUAUCAGAUUAGGUAGUUGGCGGGGUAAAGGCUCACCAAGCCGACGAUCUGUAGCUGGUCUGAGAGGACGACCAGCCACACUGGGACUGAGACACGGCCCAGACUCCUACGGGAGGCAGCAGUGGGGAAUUUUGGACAAUGGGCGCAAGCCUGAUCCAGCCAUGCCGCGUGCGGGAAGAAGGCCUUCGGGUUGUAAACCGCUUUUGUCAGGGAAGAAACGCUCUGGGUUAAUACCCUGGGGUAAUGACGGUACCUGAAGAAUAAGCACCGGCUAACUACGUGCCAGCCGCCGCGGUAA
rnacentral:rRNA from 1 species